rnacentral:rRNA from 1 species
AGAGUUUGAUCCUGGCUCAGAUUGAACGCUGGCGGCAGGCCUAACACAUGCAAGUCGAGCGGCAGCACGGGUACUUGUACCUGGUGGCGAGCGGCGGACGGGUGAGUAAUGCCUAGGAAUCUGCCUGGUAGUGGGGGAUAACGCUCGGAAACGGACGCUAAUACCGCAUACGUCCUACGGGAGAAAGCAGGGGACCUUCGGGCCUUGCGCUAUCAGAUGAGCCUAGGUCGGAUUAGCUAGUUGGUGAGGUAAUGGCUCACCAAGGCGACGAUCCGUAACUGGUCUGAGAGGAUGAUCAGUCACACUGGAACUGAGACACGGUCCAGACUCCUACGGGAGGCAGCAGUGGGGAAUAUUGGACAAUGGGCGAAAGCCUGAUCCAGCCAUGCCGCGUGUGUGAAGAAGGUCUUCGGAUUGUAAAGCACUUUAAGUUGGGAGGAAGGGCAGUUACCUAAUACGUAUCUGUUUUGACGUUACCGACAGAAUAAGCACCGGCUAACUCUGUGCCAGCAGCCGCGGUAAUACAGAGGGUGCAAGCGUUAAUCGGAAUUACUGGGCGUAAAGCGCGCGUAGGUGGUUUGUUAAGUUGAAUGUGAAAUCCCCGGGCUCAACCUGGGAACUGCAUCCAAAACUGGCAAGCUAGAGUAUGGUAGAGGGUGGUGGAAUUUCCUGUGUAGCGGUGAAAUGCGUAGAUAUAGGAAGGAACACCAGUGGCGAAGGCGACCACCUGGACUGAUACUGACACUGAGGUGCGAAAGCGUGGGGAGCAAACAGGAUUAGAUACCCCCGUAGUCCACGCCGUAAACGAUGUCAACUAGCCGUUGGGAGCCUUGAGCUCUUAGUGGCGCAGCUAACGCAUUAAGUUGACCGCCUGGGGAGUACGGCCGCAAGGUUAAAACUCAAAUGAAUUGACGGGGGCCCGCACAAGCGGUGGAGCAUGUGGUUUAAUUCGAAGCGACGCGAAGAACCUUACCAGGCCUUGACAUCCAAUGAAUCCUUUAGAGAUAGAGGAGUGCCUUCGGGAGCAUUGAGACAGGUGCUGCAUGGCUGUCGUCAGCUCGUGUCGUGAGAUGUUGGGUUAAGUCCCGUAACGAGCGCAACCCUUGUCCUUAGUUACCAGCACGUAAUGGUGGGCACUCUAAGGAGACUGCCGGUGACAAACCGGAGGAAGGUGGGGAUGACGUCAAGUCAUCAUGGCCCUUACGGCCUGGGCUACACACGUGCUACAAUGGUCGGUACAGAGGGUUGCCAAGCCGCGAGGUGGAGCUAAUCUCACAAAACCGAUCGUAGUCCGGAUCGCAGUCUGCAACUCGACUGCGUGAAGUCGGAAUCGCUAGUAAUCGCGAAUCAGAAUGUCGCGGUGAAUACGUUCCCGGGCCUUGUACACACCGCCCGUCACACCAUGGGAGUGGGUUGCACCAGAAGUAGCUAGUCUAACCUUCGGGGGGACGGUUACCACGGUGUGAUUCAUGACUGGGGUGAAGUCGUAACAAGGUAACCGUA